rnacentral:rRNA from 1 species
AUUGAACGCUGGCGGCAUGCCUUACACAUGCAAGUCGAACGGCAGCACGGGAGCAAUCCUGGUGGCGAGUGGCGAACGGGUGAGUAAAGUAUCCGAACGUGCCCAGUCGUGGGGGAUAACGUAGCGAAAGUUAUGCUAAUACCGCAUACGAUCUAUGGAUGAAAGCGGGGGAUCGCAAGAUCUUGCGCGAUUGGAGCGGCCGAUAUCAAAUUAGGUAGUUGGUGGGGUAAAGGACCACCAAGCCGACGAUCUGUAGCUGGUCUGAGAGGACGACCAGCCACACUGGGACUGAGACCCGGCCCAGACUCCUACGGGAGGCAGCAGUGGGGAAUUUUGGACAAUGGGCGAAAGCCUGAUCCAGCCAUGCCGCGUGCAGGAUGAAGGCCUUCGGGUUGUAAACUGCUUUUGUACGGAACGAAAAGGUUUGGCCUAAUAAGCUGAGCUCAUGACGGUACCGUAAGAAUAAGCACCGGCUAACUACGUGCCAGCCGCCGCCGUAA